rnacentral:rRNA from 1 species
UACGAAGGGGGCUAGCGUUGUUCGGAUUUACUGGGCGUAAAGCGCACGUAGGCGGAUUGUUAAGUCAGGGGUGAAAUCCUGGAGCUCAACUCCAGAACUGCCUUUGAUACUGGCAAUCUCGAGUCCGGAAGAGGUGAGUGGAACUCCUAGUGUAGAGGUGGAAUUCGUAGAUAUUAGGAAGAACACCAGUGGCGAAGGCGGCUCACUGGUCCGGUACUGACGCUGAGGUGCGAAAGCGUGGGGAGCAAACAGG